AUUGAACGCUGGCGGCAGGCUUAACACAUGCAAGUCGAACGGUAGCAUAAAGGAGCUUGCUUCUUUGAUGACGAGUGGCGGACGGGUGAGUAAUGCUUGGGAAUCUAGCUUAUGGAGGGGGAUAACUACGGGAAACUGUAGCUAAUACCGCGUAGAAUCGGGAGAUGAAAGUGUGGGACCUUCGGGCCACAUGCCAUAGGAUGAGCCCAAGUGGGAUUAGGUAGUUGGUGAGGUAAAGGCUCACCAAGCCGACGAUCUCUAGCUGGUCUGAGAGGAUGACCAGCCACACUGGGACUGAGACACGGCCCAGACUCCUACGGGAGGCAGCAGUGGGGAAUAUUGCGCAAUGGGGGCAACCCUGACGCAGCCAUGCCGCGUGAAUGAAGAAGGCCUUCGGGUUGUAAAGUUCUUUCGGUAGCGAGGAAGGCAUUUAGUUUAAUAGACUAGGUGAUUGACGUUAACUACAGAAGAAGCACCGGCUAACUCCGUG
rnacentral:rRNA from 1 species